AUGGGCUCGAAGCAGCAGCCGGCGCUCCGGCCGAGCUCCACUGACGGAGGCUGCGGCGGCGACGGCAGGGCGGCGUCGGUGAGUGAGCGGUCGAGCGUGACCAACGCGUCCUUCAGGGUGUACUACAGCCUGCGCGCCGGCGCCGUGCCGUUCGUCUGGGAGUCCGCGCCCGGCACGCCAAAGAGAGGUGCGGCCGCCGUCUCCCCGGAGUCGUCCCUCUCCGCCAGUACCAAAGCGACCAGCGGCGGAGCUGCCGACGCUGGUGUUGCUACGGUGCUGCCUCCGCCCCCCUCGCCGCCGCCGUCGUACCAGUCGCCGUUCCAUGGGAAGGGGAGGAGGCCGUCCUGGACGGCGACGCCGGGAGGCAUUGUGAGGGCAUUGCUUGGCGUGCUUGGGCUCAGGAAGAGACACCGCCGGUCGCGCCGGCGCCCCGACAUGUCAUGUCUUUGA
rnacentral:rRNA from 1 species